GCCUUACGGGGUGCAGCAGGCGCGAAACCUGCACAAUGUGGGCAACCACGAUGCGGGAACUCCAAGUGCUUACACUAUGUGUAAGCUGUUCUGGAUCCUAAAAAGCUCCAGAAGUAAGGGCCGGGUAAGACGGGUGCCAGCCGCCGCGGUAAUACCCGCGGCCCGAGUGGUGCUCAUUAUUAUUGAGCCUAAAGCGUCCGUAGCUGGCCGGGCAAAUCUCCGGGGAAAUCGGGCCGCUCAACGGUCCGAAGGCCGGAGACACUGCUCGGCUUGGGAUCGGGAGAGGGUGAAGGUACUCUCGCGGAAGGGGUAAAGUCCUGUAAUCCCCACGGGACCUCCAGCGUCGAAAACGGUCACCUA
rnacentral:rRNA from 1 species